rnacentral:rRNA from 1 species
GUGGGGAAUCUUAGACAAUGGGCGCAAGCCUGAUCUAGCCAUGCCGCGUGAGUGAUGAAGGCCCUAGGGUUGUAAAGCUCUUUCAGCUGGGAAGAUAAUGACGGUACCAGCAGAAGAAGCCCCGGCUAACUCCGUGCCAGCAGCCGCGGUAAUACGGAGGGGGCUAGCGUUGUUCGGAAUUACUGGGCGUAAAGCGCGCGUAGGCGGACUGAACAGUUGGGGGUGAAAUCCCGGGGCUCAACCUCGGGACUGCCUUCAAAACUAUCAGUCUGGAGUUCGAGAGAGGUGAGUGGAAUGCCGAGUGUAGAGGUGAAAUUCGUAGAGAUUCGGAGGAACACCAGUGGCGAAGGCGGCUCACUGGCUCGAUAGUGACGCUGGGGUGCGAAAGCGUGGGGAGCAAACAGGAUUAGAUACCCGAGUAGUCC